AUAUGGUCAAGUGAAGAAGCGCAUACGGUGGAUGCCUUGGCAGUCAGAGGCGAUGAAAGACGUGGUAGCCUGCGAAAAGCUUCGGGGAGUCGGCAAACAGACUUUGAUCCGGAGAUGUCUGAAUGGGGGAACCCAGCCAUCAUAAGAUGGUUACCUUACACUGAAUACAUAGGUGUAUGGAGCGAACCAGGGGAACUGAAACAUCUAAGUACCCUGAGGAAAAGAAAUCAACCGAGAUUCCCUUAGUAGUGGCGAGCGAACGGGGACUAGCCCUUAAGUGGCUUUGAGAUUAGCGGAACGCUCUGGAAAGUGCGGCCAUAGUGGGUGAUAGCCCUGUACGCGAAAAUCUCUUAGUCAUGAAAUCGAGUAGGACGGAGCACGAGAAACUUUGUCUGAAUAUGGGGGGACCAUCCUCCAAGGCUAAAUACUACUGACUGACCGAUAGUGAACUAGUACCGUGAGGGAAAGGCGAAAAGAACCCCGGAGAGGGGAGUGAAAUAGAUCCUGAAACCGUAUGCGUACAAGCAGUGGGAGCCCACUUUGUUGGGUGACUGCGUACCUUUUGUAUAAUGGGUCAGCGACUUAUUUUCAGUGGCGAGCUUAACCGAAUAGGGGAGGCGUAGCGAAAGCGAGUCUUAAUAGGGCGUCUAGUCGCUGGGAAUAGACCCGAAACCGGGCGAUCUAUCCAUGGGCAGGUUGAAGGUUGGGUAACACUAACUGGAGGACCGAACCGACUACCGUUGAAAAGUUAGCGGAUGACCUGUGGAUCGGAGUGAAAGGCUAAUCAAGCUCGGAGAUAGCUGGUUCUCCUCGAAAGCUAUUUAGGUAGCGCCUCAUGUAUCACUGUAGGGGGUAGAGCACUGUUUCGGCUAGGGGGUCAUCCCGACUUACCAAACCGAUGCAAACUCCGAAUACCUACAAGUGCCGAGCAUGGGAGACACACGGCGGGUGCUAACGUCCGUCGUGAAAAGGGAAACAACCCAGACCGUCAGCUAAGGUCCCAAAGUUAUGGUUAAGUGGGAAACGAUGUGGGAAGGCUUAGACAGCUAGGAGGUUGGCUUAGAAGCAGCCACCCUUUAAAGAAAGCGUAAUAGCUCACUAGUCGAGUCGGCCUGCGCGGAAGAUGUAACGGGGCUCAAACCAUACACCGAAGCUACGGGUAUCACGUAAGUGAUGCGGUAGAGGAGCGUUCUGUAAGCCUGUGAAGGUGAGUUGAGAAGCUUGCUGGAGGUAUCAGAAGUGCGAAUGCUGACAUGAGUAACGACAAUGGGUGUGAAAAACACCCACGCCGAAAGACCAAGGUUUCCUGCGCAACGUUAAUCGACGCAGGGUUAGUCGGUCCCUAAGGCGAGGCUGAAAAGCGUAGUCGAUGGAAAACAGGUUAAUAUUCCUGUACUUCUGGUUAUUGCGAUGGAGGGACGGAGAAGGCUAGGCCAGCUUGGCGUUGGUUGUCCAAGUUUAAGGUGGUAGGCUGGAAUCUUAGGUAAAUCCGGGAUUCUAAGGCCGAGAGCUGAUGACGAGUCGUCUUUUAGACGACGAAGUGGUUGAUGCCAUGCUUCCAAGAAAAGCUUCUAAGCUUCAGGUAACCAGGAACCGUACCCCAAACCGACACAGGUGGUUGGGUAGAGAAUACCAAGGCGCUUGAGAGAACUCGGGUGAAGGAACUAGGCAAAAUGGCACCGUAACUUCGGGAGAAGGUGCGCCGGUGAGGGUGAAGGACUUGCUCCGUAAGCUCAUGCCGGUCGAAGAUACCAGGCCGCUGCGACUGUUUAUUAAAAACACAGCACUCUGCAAACACGAAAGUGGACGUAUAGGGUGUGACGCCUGCCCGGUGCCGGAAGGUUAAUUGAUGGGGUUAGCUAACGCGAAGCUCUUGAUCGAAGCCCCGGUAAACGGCGGCCGUAACUAUAACGGUCCUAAGGUAGCGAAAUUCCUUGUCGGGUAAGUUCCGACCUGCACGAAUGGCGUAACGAUGGCGGCGCUGUCUCCACCCGAGACUCAGUGAAAUUGAAAUCGCUGUGAAGAUGCAGUGUAUCCGCGGCUAGACGGAAAGACCCCGUGAACCUUUACUAUAGCUUUGCACUGGACUUUGAAUUUGCUUGUGUAGGAUAGGUGGGAGGCUUUGAAGCGUGGACGCCAGUUCGCGUGGAGCCAACCUUGAAAUACCACCCUGGCAACUUUGAGGUUCUAACUCAGGUCCGUUAUCCGGAUCGAGGACAGUGUAUGGUGGGUAGUUUGACUGGGGCGGUCUCCUCCUAAAGAGUAACGGAGGAGUACGAAGGUGCGCUCAGACCGGUCGGAAAUCGGUCGUAGAGUAUAAAGGCAAAAGCGCGCUUGACUGCGAGACAGACACGUCGAGCAGGUACGAAAGUAGGUCUUAGUGAUCCGGUGGUUCUGUAUGGAAGGGCCAUCGCUCAACGGAUAAAAGGUACUCCGGGGAUAACAGGCUGAUACCGCCCAAGAGUUCAUAUCGACGGCGGUGUUUGGCACCUCGAUGUCGGCUCAUCACAUCCUGGGGCUGAAGCCGGUCCCAAGGGUAUGGCUGUUCGCCAUUUAAAGUGGUACGCGAGCUGGGUUUAGAACGUCGUGAGACAGUUCGGUCCCUAUCUGCCGUGGACGUUUGAGAUUUGAGAGGGGCUGCUCCUAGUACGAGAGGACCGGAGUGGACGAACCUCUGGUGUUCCGGUUGUCACGCCAGUGGCAUUGCCGGGUAGCUAUGUUCGGAAUAGAUAACCGCUGAAAGCAUCUAAGCGGGAAACUAGCCUCAAGAUGAGAUCUCACUGGAACCUUGAGUUCCCUGAAGGGCCGUCGAAGACUACGACGUUGAUAGGUUGGGUGUGUAAGCGCUGUGAGGCGUUGAGCUAACCAAUACUAAUUGCCCGUGAGGCUUGACCAU
rnacentral:rRNA from 1 species